rnacentral:rRNA from 1 species
GUCUUGAAACACGGACCAAGGAGUCUGACAUGUGUGCGAGUCUUCGGGUGAUAGAAACCCUCGGCAGAAUGAAAGUGAAUGGUUUAGGUGAGAUCUGUGCCGUCCCGGUGCAGCGCAUCAUUGACCGACCUAUUCUACUCUUAGAAAGGUUUGAGAGAGCAUAUAUGUCGGGACCCGAAAGAUGGUGAACUAUGCUUGAGUAGGGUGAAGCCAGAGGAAACUCUGGUGGAGGCUCGUAGCGAUUCUGACGUGCAAAUCGAUCGUCAAACUUGAGGAUAGGGGCGAAAGACUAAUCGAACCAUCUAGUAGCUGGUUCCCUCCGAAGUUUCCCUUAGGAUAGCUGGAACUUUUUACAGUUUCAUCCGGUAAAGCGAAUGAUUAGAGGUCUUGGGGUUGAAACAACCUCAACCUAUUCUCAAACUUUCAAUGGGUGAGAAGCCUGACUUGCUUGAUUGAAGCCAGGCACUGAAUGGACGAGUUCUUAGUGGGCCAUUUUUGGUAAGCAGAACUGGCGAUGCGGGAUGAACCGAACGUGUAGUUAAGGCGCCUAAAUCGACGCUCAUCAGACCCCACAAAAGGUGUUGGUUGAUCCAGACAGCAGGACGGUGGCCAUGGAAGUCGGAAUCCGCUAAGGAGUGUGUAACAAC